rnacentral:rRNA from 1 species
GAUGAACGCUGGCGGCGUGCCUAAUACAUGCAAGUCGAGCGAACGGACGAGAAGCUUGCUUCUCUGAUGUUAGCGGCGGACGGGUGAGUAACACGUGGAUAACCUACCUAUAAGACUGGGAUAACUUCGGGAAACCGGAGCUAAUACCAGAUCAUAUUUUGAACCGCAUGGAUCAAAAGUGAAAGACGGUCUUGCUGUCACUUAUAGAUGGAUUCGCGCUGCAUUAGCUAGUUGGUAAGGUAACGGCUUACCAAGGCAACGAUGCAUAGCCGACCUGAGAGGGUGAUCGGCCACACUGGAACUGAGACACGGUCCAGACUCCUACGGGAGGCAGCAGUAGGGAAUCUUGCGCAAUGGGCGAAAGCCUGACGGAGCAACGCCGCGUGAGUGAUGAAGGUCUUCGGAUCGUAAAGCUCUGUUAUUAGGGAAGAACAUAUGUGUAUGUAACUGUGCACAUCUUGACGGUACCUAAUCAGAAAGCCACGGCUAACUACGUG